rnacentral:rRNA from 1 species
GUGCCAGCAGCCGCGGUAAUACGAAGGGUGCAAGCGUUACUCGGAAUUACUGGGCGUAAAGCGUGCGUAGGUGGUUGUUUAAGUCUGUCGUGAAAGCCCUGGGCUCAACCUGGGAAUUGCGAUGGAAACUGGGCGACUAGAGUGUGGCAGAGGAUAGUGGAAUUCCUGGUGUAGCAGUGAAAUGCGUAGAGAUCAGGAGGAACAUCCGUGGCGAAGGCGACUGUCUGGGCCAACACUGACACUGAGGCACGAAAGCGUGGGGAGCAAACAGGAUUAGAUACCCUGGUAGUCC